GAUGAACGCUGGCGGCGUGCCUAAUACACGCAAGUCGAGCGAACGGACGGGAAGCUUGCUUUUCUGAUGUUGUCAGCGGACGGGAGCGUAACACGUGGAUAACCUACCUAUAAGACUGGGAUAACUUCGGGAAACCGGAUCUACUACCGGAUAAUAUUUUGAACCUCGUGGUUCAAGAGUUAAAGACGGUCUUUCUGUCGCUUAUAGAUUGCUCCGCGCUGCAUUAGUUAGUUGGUAAGGUAGCGGCUUACCAAGGCAACGAUGCAUAGACGACCUAAGAGGGUGAUCGGACACCCGGGAAGUGAGACACGGCCGCGACACCUAGGGGAAGACGCAGUAGAGAAUCCUACGCAAUGGGGGAAAGGGUGACGGAGCAACGUCGCGUGAGGGAUGAAGGUGCACGGACCGGAAAACUAUGUUAGUAGGGAAGAACAAAUGUGUAAGUAACUGUGAAGAUAAUGACGGUACCUAAUCAGAAAGCCACGGCUAACUACGUG
rnacentral:rRNA from 1 species